CAAUGUCUGGGAUAUUCGCAUGGUUUCUAUUUUGAACCUACGCAAUGCAUAAGGGAGUCCAAUACUGGUAUUGGAUAUCAGGCCCAAAGUAAGUCCGGUUUCGGCAGGGGAAGAUAAAAGAUAUCAUGCGGACACCCACCUAUCGGAUGAUAGGGUGUCAAAAUUGAAACGACGGUAUCUCAGAUAAAUA
rnacentral:other from 1 species